GGAGGGAUCAUUAACACGUGUCACCACGUAUCCCCAUACUCAUCAACCACGCGUGAACCCGAAACAACUCCCUUCACAGGACGGACGAUUGAACAAUCAUCAGGGUGGAGUCAGACAACAGCGAAAAAGGCAUCGACCCUCGGUCUGGCUGACUAUGACUCGAUCUAGAGGCUCUUAGAGGCCUCAAUCCACUGUGAAGCGUCUUUGCGACCACCUGGCAGACUGCACCCGAAAGGUCACUGCAGCGUUCUGCCGAAUCUAUUAACCCCCACUUUAAAAUUAAUUUUUUAAACACCCCUUUAACACAUAACACUAAACUGAACCUUAUUCAUGUGGGCUGUGCGUUUCGCCUUCUCCACCACUGAAUGAUAUACGUAAUGCUGAACAACUCUUAGCAAUGGAUAUCUUGGUUCUCGUAACGAUGAAGAACGCAGCGAAAUGCGAUACGUAAUGCGAAUUGCAGAAUUCAGUGAAUCAUCAAAUCUUUGAACGCAAAUGGCGCUCUCGGGAUAUGCCCGGGAGCAUGCCUCUCUGAGUAUCGGUUCUACCACUCGCAGCCCGCGUGCUUGCUAACACGAAAGUGUUGGUAACGACAUGCGUAUGGAAGCGGAAUAUGAGCGUCUGGCGGCGCAAGCAGUGCCAGUCGCUUGAAAUGGAUAGAAGCUUGGAGCGCACUAGAUGGUGCCUUAGCGUUAACGCGCUUUGGCUAGCAGGACUCGUUCAAUGAGCUCCUCCUUUACUAGUGACGUGGAUAGAAGCACCACUCGUUGGUCUUUCAAAACGUCUGCUUGGUACGGGAAUAAUUGCUCAUGAGUCAUGUGAUACAUUUGGACCGCACUCCUUGUCUUGUCAAUUCGAAUUCAGUGUGUCGCAGGCCUUCGGGUCAGUGGCAUGCUUCUUUGAAUUAGAUCUCAGAUGAAGCAAGAGGACCCCCUGAAUUUAAGCAUAUUAUUAAGGGGAGGAAAAGAAACUAACAAGGAUUCCCCUAGUAACGGGCGAGUGAAGCGGGAUGGAGCUCAAUCUGGGAAUCGAGAGUGGAAGCCCACGCCUCGAAUUGUAUCCUAGAGACGUACUGUCAGCGUGUGACCUCGGUGCAAGUCUUUUGAAACAGGGCAUCAUGGAGGGUGAGAAUCCCGUCUCUGACCGAGAGUUCGCCGCGUACGACGUAUGUUCGACGAGUCGAGUUGUUUGGGAUUGCAGCUCUAAAUGGGUGGUAAAUUUCAUCUAAGGCUAAAUAUCGACGAGAGACCGAUAGCGAACAAGUACCGUGAGGGAAGAUGAAAAGAACUUUGAAAAGAGAGUUAAAAAGUACUUGAAAUUGUUAAGAGGGAAGCGCUAGCAAGCAGUCAAGACACAAAGCUAUACUUACUGGGGGACACCGAAAUCAACUGCGGACCAGAUCGCAAGACUGUGUCGGGCUGAGGACGAGUGGCCGCCGGGUCAUGUAGCUGGGUGUGGGUCAGAGUCAAUUCGGAUGCGCGGCUGAAGGCUAGUGGAAAGGUAGGGUCCCCGGACCUGUUAUAGUCCGCUAGCUGAACCGUGCUCUGGAUUGAGGAUUGAUAAUGGACGCCGCAAGGUUUCGGCGCGGCUCUCCUGUUGGGUGGGACGGCUCCGAGGACAAUGUCCUGUGGGCUGUCUCUGCCUGAUACUGGGUGUCGCUGCCAGAUGUCCAUUCGCGAUCCUGACGAAAUGCUUGCUAUCGACCCGUCUUGAAACACGGACCAAGGAGUCUAACAUAUAUGCGAGUAUGCGGGUGCCAAACUCGAAUGCGUAAUGAAAGUAAAGGCAGUUUCGGCUGCUGAGGUAGGAAGGGCGUCAAAACCCGGCACUAUCGACCGAUCGUCACUUGUGAUUGAUUUGAGUGCGAGCAUAUCUGUUGGGACCCGAAAGAUGGUGAUCUAUGCCUGAACAGGGUGAAGCCAGGGGAAACUCUGGUGGAGGCUCGUAGCGAUACUGACGUGCAAAUCGUUCGUCUGAUUUGGGUAUAGGGGCGAAAGACUAAUCGAACCAUCUAGUAGCUGGUUCCCUC
rnacentral:misc_RNA from 1 species